rnacentral:rRNA from 1 species
AACGCUAGCUACAGGCUUAACACAUGCAAGUCGAGGGGCAGCAUGAAUCUUAGCUUGCUAAGAUUUGAUGGCGACCGGCGCACGGGUGAGUAACGCGUAUCCAACCUACCGUUUACUACUGGAUAGCCUUCUGAAAAGGAGAUUAAUACAGUAUGGUAUUCAACGAUCACAUGAGAAUUGAAUUAAAGAUUUAUCGGUAAACGAUGGGGAUGCGUUCCAUUAGAUAGUAGGCGGGGUAACGGCCCACCUAGUCUUCGAUGGAUAGGGGUUCUGAGAGGAAGGUCCCCCACAUUGGAACUGAGACACGGUCCAAACUCCUACGGGAGGCAGCAGUGAGGAAUAUUGGUCAAUGGACGAGAGUCUGAACCAGCCAAGUAGCGUGAAGGAUGACUGCCCUAUGGGUUGUAAACUUCUUUUAUAAAGGAAUAAAGUAAGUCACGUGUGGCUUUUUGUAUGUACUUUAUGAAUAAGGAUCGGCUAACUCCGUGCCAGCAGCCGCGGUAAUACGGAGGAUCCGAGCGUUAUCCGGAUUUAUUGGGUUUAAAGGGAGCGUAGAUGGGUUUUUAAGUCAGUUGUGAAAGUUUGGGGCUCAACCUCGAAAUUGCAAUUGAUACUGGAAGUCUUGAGUACAGUUGAGGUAGGCGGAAUUCGUGGUGUAGCGGUGAAAUGCUUAGAUAUCACGAAGAACUCCGAUUG